GAUGAAGAACGCAGUGAAAUGCGAUACUUGGUGUGAAUUGCAGAAUCCCGUGAACCAUCGAGUCUUUGAACGCAAGUUGCGCCCGAGGCCUCCUGGUCGAGGGCACGUCUGCCUGGGUGUCACGCAUCGUCGCCCUCUCUCCCCUCGGCUCGCGAGGGCGGGGGCGGAUACUGGUCUCCCGCGCGCUCCCGCUCGCGGUUGGCCCAAAAUCGAGUCCUCGGCGACGGUCGCCACGACGAGCGGUGGUUGAGAGACCCUCGGACACGGUCGUGCGCGCGCCUGUCGCCCCCGGGAUCUCCUGGACCCUCGGGCAUCGAAAUUCUAGGAUGCUCUCGUUGCGACCCCAGGUCAGGCGGGACUACCCGCUGAGUUUAAGCAUAUCAAUAAGCGGAGGA
rnacentral:misc_RNA from 1 species